CUGCUUAUUUUGGCAGCACAGAUACUAAAAUUGGAACAACACAGAGAAGAUUAGCAUGACCCCUGCACAAGGAUGACAUGCAAAUUCAUGAAGCAUACCAUAUUUUU
rnacentral:snRNA from 1 species